AAGUUUCUAUUACCAACCCUCUGAACUCUAUCUGCUCCCGGGUGCCAAGAGUCAGGGCCCUCCCCUCCACCCGGGCAGAGGAAGUAGCAAGGGCUGGAAGGAGCCAGGCUUAGCGACUCAUUCUCCCCUGGAUUUCCUGUCUCCCUCCCUUGCCAAACCUCACUUCUGAAAAGCAGGCUUCACCUUCUAUGAGUCAGUGUGGAUCGCUGAGGUGCUGCUGAACCGGAGCCACUGACUUGCCUUGAUGCCUUCAGGACAAGCCCUGCCAGUGUGAGGCUCGGAUGGGGUGUGCCCGGCUGCAGGAUGUUUUACGUGUUCCCCAUAACCUGGAUGUGUUGCUUGUGAUUUGAUCAUCUUCAGAACAGAGCUGUGACAAGCUGGGCCACUCCUCUGAACACUAACAGCUGAAAGGGGUCUUUGUUUCAUGGCUCUCCACAUCAUCUGGGCAGAAGUCCAGGGGCAAAGGAAAAGGGGGAGGGGGGGCCUGCAGAUCAUCAUGCAGUCACCCUGUGUUGAGAACCAAGGGGUCCCAGCCAGGAUACAGAACAGUAUUCUCCUGCCCACAAGACAAGAUACCCAUGUGUUUGCUACCAAGAUCAGGAAGCACAAAGCAAACUCCAUGGUUCUAUCACCAUCACUGUUGUCAAGAGUGAUGUCAUUAGGAAAAGAGGAAACAGGACCUUCCCUCACAAACGGCCAAAGGGAAAUAUGAGUGCUUCCUGGAGGAAACUGUGGCAGUGUGAAACUAAUUAUUUUAGAAAGUCUAUAAAAAGGCCGUCAAAAUAAAGAGUAUAGAUUACAUAGUAGAGAAGUUGGAAGUUGUUUGUUCCCUACAUCAUAUCUAGGUAGUCUAUUCAUCAGACCUGUGGCCAAGCUUUACUACUAAGUCUUUCAUUAGCUUACUUGAGGUACCACCUACAGAAAUAUUGUCCCCCAAAUCUGUUUGGGAGUGACAAGCAUUCCCACUAAUGACAUCACCAGUUGACAUACAGCAAUAGCAAAAUCUUAUGUGUGGGACUUUAAAGUCUCUCAAGUAUGUUGGUGGCUAUGGUAAGUGUCAGUUUUGUGGUCCUUACACAAGGCUGGGCACUCUUGCCCAUGAUGCAUAUGAAGUCACAUUUCCAGUGGUCUGUCUUCUUUAUGGGAAAACCUGACCUGAGCUUUGCUUCUGUUCAUUUUUAAUUCUUUCAGAAGAUGAAACAGAGGAUGCGUACACAUGCCUUCCUUUGUUUUUAUUCUUUUAUAUUUCUUUUGUCUUUAAAGCCCUAGUUGUUCCAAACACAAACAAAAUAUCUACAGAGUGAGCAGCGGCCCCUGUGGAGUAAACCUAGACUCCCUGGAAGACAUCUACAGUCACCCAACAUCAAAUAUCAUCUACUAACACAAAGGUUUGGUAUCUGUUUAGAUAUAUAUAGUCCUAAGAAACGUCAUACAUCUACCACAAAUGCUAUGAAAACUGCAGAAGAGGCCUUUUGGUAUAAAAUAUGGAAAGAGAAAGCAAUGGGGAAAGAUGCUCCAGCUGAAGGAACCUGGAGUCCUUUCUCAGUGAGUUCCACUGAGGCCUGGCUUUGACUUGGGUUCCUAAGAUGCUACCAGGGAAGGGACAGUUCAAAGUCAAUAGAAGGUUAAAUGUCCUGAUGAAAUAUCAGUUCAACUUUAAAUUAUUUGAUGCAUGGUUUUUGCCAACAUGAAUGAGUAAGUGAAUGAAUGAGUCUUGAUCCAAGGAUGAACCACAUGAAAGAGGAACAGAAUGAAGUGGAAGAUUAAGGAUCAAAUGCAUGGGGGCUGGUGAGAUGGCUCAGUGGGUAAGAGCACCCGACUGCUCUUCCGAAGGUCCGGAGUUCAAAUCCCAGCAACCACAUGGUGGCUCACAACCAUCCGUAACGAGAUCUGACUCCGUCUUCUGGAGUGUCUGAAGACAGCUACAGUGUACUUACAUAUAAUAAAUAAAUAAAUCUUAAAAAAAAUGGUAUCAAAUGCAUUGCUUCUUUU